rnacentral:other from 1 species
UCAUCCCUGCUGUGUGCGUUAGGGCCGUAUAUAAACGAACCAAUGCUGUAUACGAAGGGAGCCACACUUCUUCGCAAGUAUCUUUGGAUACUUCAGAGAGGCACCCACUUGAGUAGGCGGUUCGCCUAUUGAUGUCCGACGGCAUGGUGGGGAAUUU